CCUUUUACACGUAACGUCGUAUGACAAAUACGGCGAGAUAUGCCUCGCCUCCUAGGGCGCGAGUUGUGCGCCCUCACUCACUUCUGCAUAGUCUCUAUUCUGCACCUGGUAUAUCGGCCUGUAUCGGUUUACAUAUACGUAAGGGGUUAAUCAACUGGGAAAAAAAUCAUGGACAUAGUUAAACGUCCACAGUCGUUUAGCCUAUCACACGACAAACACUCUUCACGAUGGUCCGCGGUAUUCGCACACCAAAAAUCAAAA